CCUCUUAUAUUUUCCUCAUACACCCACGUGAACGAUGAGACAAACCUUCCAUUCUCUAAAACCCUACCGCCGCCGUCACCCAUCCUUUCACCACUUUCCGACCACCACAACUCUUAACUGCAAGCGAGCAACGUUUUUGUACUCCUCACCACCUCUUCUCCUUUCCUUUUCUGCUCUGUGACUCCAUUUUCUUUUCAAUCAGUGUUGAAAUGGAGCUGUUUGAAACGGAACCACCGUGCCGGUUUUCCUCAGGCCACCGUGAGCUUCAUCUCCUCCAAGGAUUCGAAUAGUGCAUGAUGAAAUCUCCCCAGGUGUUGGAUUUGGUAAUGAAUCACUUAACUAGACCAAUUCCUACAGAGAUUGGAAAUCGCUCGAGCAUCGUUCACGUUUGGAGUUGACUUUGUGGAAUAAAUGUGAAAUGUGCCUUGAACUAAAUGUAUGCAUUGAAUUUUCUAUUACUUAAUACCUUUACUUCUGAGUUCUGACAUGGUUUUCUAUUGCUUACUGGUUUUUUAUGACCUGAACAGCGCAAAAUCUAUCUCUCUUUUUGUUCAUCCCCUGUUUAGAAUUUGUUUGAAUAGUAAUUAGUUUACAACUUCCUUCAUAGUAAACAUUUAAAGUUUCUCAUAAAUCGUUCUGAACUGUGAAUGGUAAAACAUAUGAUGUAAUGUAAUGUUUACUAUUGACCAAGGAAUGUAUAGAACUUUCAUCUUUAGCUAUUAUAACUGUACAAGGUCUUCAUUUGUCAAUUAGCGAUGUUAAUUUUGGUUUUUGCAUUGCAGGAAGGAGUAUCGAAGUACUCAACUGAAAAACAGAAUAUCCAUCGUGUGUGUAAUAAAACUCGUAGUUUGACUAUGCAGUAAGAACAUGGUACAUUAAUUAAAAAAUGAAAACUCUUUAUGCUGCACUAAGUCUCACAUUAUAUAUCUACCACAUCAUGCCAAAAACCUUGAAACCAUGAAUAUAACUAAAAAAAGAGUUGGCUUAUGUUUCAUUUUUCCCAACUUGGUUUUUGCAUUUGCUUGUGGGAGUGUUAGCAAGGAGUGGAACUGUAGUUUUAUUCACGACAAUUAAUUCAGAUAAUAAUUGUGUGCAUUAUUAGUAUUGUUAUUACAAAGCUACGGAAUAUGGUUCUCACAUACUAAGAGGUUAAUUUUGGUAAUAGGAUUUGACAUCAGAAUCUGGAACUUGUGAUCCCCUAUGUUCAGUUGAUGAAACUAGUUCGCUAGAUUUCGAAGACAACUAUCAGCCCAAGACUGAUUUGCUCAAAGCAGCUGCGAUAUUUGCGGCGGCUGCAACUGGGACGACAGUUACUUUUUUAACGUAUCUGUUGAAAAGCUAUGCUGAUUAUAUAAGGCCACAUGAAGAAAGUAUAUGUAAAAGCAUUGUGAAUUUGCUUGUAACAUGUACUGACUCUGUCCUUAUCACAAGUAUGUCUUCUCUUCAUCUCAUUUUAGAUUUAUCUGCUGCUUUUAGUGAUUUCUUGCAGAAGUACUAGGUGUUGGAUUUUAUUUCAAUAUUCACUGCUUUUUAGUAAUUUAUAUUUUUAGAGAGAAUAAGAAUCCAAUUUUUUGAGCCUACAUGGAUUUCGAAGUUGAGGAAUUCUAUGUUUCUGUCCAUUUUUAAUGCUUGUGAGAUGGAUAUGAUGCUUGUUACCCAUAUUGGCAUUAUUUUGAGCAUGCAUAUUCAAUUUGUUUUAUGCUGCAAAGUUUCCAUGGAUCUUUGAUUGAUCCAUCAUUGUUUAUUUCAUUCUCCUCAACCACAAGUGCAGCUUUGUUUAAACACCUCUAAGCUAUAACAAACAAAAAAAAGUUUUUUAUGUUGAUAGAUUUACUUGUAUUCAGUUUGGUGCAAUCAAUAAAAAUCAAUGUUUAAAUCCAUCAUUAAUUAGUUUGACUUUUGAUACUAUGCCACAUAUAUGAAUGAUGUAAUUGUAGUUGCUUGGAAGAGCCUUAUGUUUAUGCUAUGAUUUAUUAUAUAGUGGAAACCCAUAAUUUAUGCUGUAAAAAUAAUCUGCAUCCAGUUAAGCUUUUUUAACGCAGGCAAUAUAUAAUAAGAGGCUUAUGUUUCUUAGAUUUUGUAAUUUUGGGACUAUAUUAAGUCUUUAGCUUGAUUUAAUCUAGACUUCCUUAUGUUUCUUACAAAUGAUUUCAUCUGGACAGUUAGUCAAGGACUACAUUGACUCUGCAGUGAGACAUGUGCUCCUUAGACAUGUUUGCUUAUGAUCUAUAUACCUGAUUAUUUUUCUUGCCCUGGUAGCAUUUGAAGUUAAAGAUAUAGAGAAAAAGAUAAAUAGCAAGGAGAAUAAGUUGGUAAUGUUGUAGCGGAUUUGGUAACAUUUGUAUGUCAUUUAUUAUUUCACUGGGAAUAAAUGCAUAAUAAAGAUGU